CUUUUCCUGGAGGAGCUGCAGGAGGGCUGGGAUUGGGAUCAGGGCUGGAAUCCGCGGGAUUUUCACAGGAAUUCGUGGGAUUUUUCCCAGGAAUCUUGAAUUGAUGGGAUUUAUUUUUCACAGGAACUUCUGGGAUUUUUUCUCGGAAUUUUGAAUUGAUGGGAUACAUGCUUCCCAGCGGGAAAAGAGAGGCUGGGGUGGAAUUCCUGGGAUAUCUGUGGAUCCUGGAAUGUCCAAGGUCAGCGUGGAGCAGCCUGGGAGAGCGGGAAUGAUCCCAGGCCACGGAAUAACGGGAUGAGCUUCACGCUCCUUCCCAUCCCAGAGCCUUCCCAGCUCCUGGCUCCUUUUCCGGGGUGAGGAUCCAAUCCCAGAGCUGCUCUUUUCCAAGGAUUUGAGGAUUCCCAAAGAGUUGCCAUCAGCUGGAGCAGGGCAGGAUGGAGAUGGAGGCCGAGCCACGAGCACGGAAAAAUUCCGGGAAUGCCGCCACAAACGGCGGGAAUCGCCUUGGGAAUGGGAUGGGAAAAGCUGGAUCCAACUCCAGGUGUGUCCAGAGGCUCCUGCGCUGAAUCUUCGGGAAUUUUUCAUGGAAUUUCUGCUCCCAGAGCUGCCGAAAACCUUUGGAAAAAGACUUUUCUCCUGGAAAAAAAAAACCAA